rnacentral:lncRNA from 1 species
CGUAGUCGAACUGAGACCCCUUCUGGUCAUUGUGGACAGCAAGUUGCACAUGAAAGACAAAUCACAAGUAGGAAGCCAGGAGAGACUGCGUAAGUUCAAAUUGCUCUUGUAACAACCCUGAUGUGAGAAAUAACUCAGGGGUCCCAGGAGAACUAAUUCCUUUCAAGAUCAUGCCCUCAUGGACCCAAGGACCUUUUCAAGAUCUGCUACCUCCACACUACCACACUAAGGACAAGACUCCAACAUGGACACUCAGAGGACAAACCACAACUCUAUCUUAUGUCUGCUGAAGGAGGUCCUGACCUAGAUGUCUUCAGGAUGGUGUUUCUCCUGGCUGGGCCUCUUUCUACACCUACUUUGAAGUCUUGCCUGCUCUGAUCCUUCUGUGAAUGAGUAUAAUUUUCAGGACUAGAGAUGUUGCCAGAAAUUCUCCAACCUGUAUCUUGAACUCCUCUUAGGAGAUCUGACAGGAAGAAACUGAAUGUGCUGUAUUAAAUUA